rnacentral:rRNA from 1 species
UACGUAGGGGGCUAGCGUUGUCCGGAUUAUUGGGCGUAAAGAGCGUGUAGGCGGCCAGGUAGGUCUGCUGUGAAAACUCGAGGCUCAACCUCGAGAUGUCGGCGGAAACCAUCUGGCUAGAGUCCGGAAGAGGAGAGUGGAAUUCCUGGUGUAGCGGUGAAAUGCGCAGAUAUCAGGAAGAACACCCGUGGCGAAGGCGGCUCUCUGGGACGGUACUGACGCUGAGACGCGAAAGCGUGGGGAGCGAACAGG